CUUGGGGUUGGGGGGGCCCUCAGCCCAGAUUGUGAGAGGGCUCAGGCCAGGCCAAGGGAUCCCACUGUUGCACG
rnacentral:pre_miRNA from 1 species